rnacentral:piRNA from 1 species
AAUGGAAGGAACUCUUACACGUGU